CCGGUCUAAAAGAAUCGGGCCUUCGACUUUGCUCAAGUUAGGGCGAGGUUCUCCUCCUAUCUCUAACAUGGCUGUGGGGGCACAUUAGGGCAUUGCAAGGCCUCUCCCCCCAUCCGGUCUAAAAGAAUCGGGCCUUUGACUUUGCUUAUGUCAGGACGAGGUUCUCCUCCUGUUCCUGACAUGGCUGUGGGGGCACAUUAGGGCGUUGCAAGGCCUCUCCCCCCAUCCGGUCUAAAAGAACCGGGCCUUUGACUUUGCUCAUGUCAGGACGAGGUUCUCCUCCUGUUCCUGACAUGGCUGUGGGGGCACAUUAGGGCGUUGUAAGGCCUCUCCCCCA
rnacentral:lncRNA from 1 species